GGACGUUAAAAGGCUUCGGCCUACGUCC
rnacentral:misc_RNA from 1 species